CUUCAGGCAUUUGAUGCAAGUGGUGUUUUAUUGUCAUGAAAUCGGGGUGGUUCACAGGGAUCUGAAGCCGGAGAAUAUCCUUUUGGCUACAAAAGCCUCAUCUUCACCUAUUAAACUGGCAGAUUUUGGUCUUGCAACCUAUAUCAACCCUGGUCAGAAUUUGCAUGGGACUGUUGGGAGUCCAUUUUAUAUAGCCCCAGAUGUAUUGACAGGGGGCUAUAAUCAGGCUGCCGAUGUUUGGAGUGCAGGGGUGAUUCUUUAUGUUCUUCUUAGUGGGACACCACCAUUUUGGGGUAAGACUAAGUCACGAAUAUUUGAUGCUGUAAGGGCNUGCGAUUCCCAUCUAUUCCUUGGGAUUGGAUAACUGAAUCUGCAAAGGAGUUAGUCAGGGGCAUGCUUUGUACUGAUCCUUCACGAAGGCUUACUGCACAACAGGUUUUAGAUCAUUCCUGGAUGAAGGAUGAUGCAUUAUGUCCUGAAGAACCUAGUCAAUGUGAAAAGCAAAGUUGUGAAGAAUGGGAUUUAGGU
rnacentral:misc_RNA from 1 species